AUUGAACGCUGGCGGGAUGCCUUACACAUGCAAGUCGAACGGAGUGGCGAACGGGUGAGUAAUGUAUCGGAACGUGCCCAGUAGCGGGGGAUAACUACGCGAAAGCGUAGCUAAUACCGCAUACUAUUGGAGCGGCCGAGAUCGGAUUAGCUAGUGGGGGGGGUAACGGCGCACCAAGGCGACGAUCCGUAGCUGGUUUGAGAGGACGACCAGCCAAACUGGGACUGAGACACGGCCCAGACUCCUACGGGAGGCAGCAGUGGGGAAUUUUGGACAAUGGGGGAAAGCCUGAUCCAGCCAUCCCGCGUGUGCGAUGAAGGCCUUCGGGUUGUAAAGCACUUUUAGUAGGAAAGCGUUACCUGCAGAAUAAGCACCGGCUAACUACGUGCCAGCAGCCGCGGUAAUUC
rnacentral:rRNA from 1 species